rnacentral:rRNA from 1 species
UACAGAGGGUGCAAGCGUUUGUUCGGAAUUAUUGGGCGUAAAGCGCGUGUAGGCGGCUUUGCAAGUCGGGUGUGAAAGCCCUCAGCUCAACUGAGGAAGUGCGCCCGAAACUGCAGAGCUUGAGUGCCGGAGAGGGUGGCGGAAUUCCCCAAGUAGAGGUGAAAUUCGUAGAUAUGGGGGAGGAACACCGGUGGCGAAGGCGGCCGACCUGGACGGGUACUGACGCUGAGACGCGAAAGCGUGGGGAGCGAACAGG